CCUACGGGGUGCAGCAGUGGGGAAUAUUGGGCAAUGGGCGCAAGCCUGACCCAGCAACGCCGCGUGAAGGAAGAAGGCUUUCGGGUUGUAAACUUCUUUUCUCAGGGACGAAGCAAGUGACGGUACCUGAGGAAUACGCCACGGCUAACUACUUGCCAGCAGCCGCGGUAAUACGUAGGUGGCAAGCGUUAUCCGGAUUUAUUGGGUGUAAAGGGCGUGUAGGCGGGAGCGCAAGUCAGAUGUGAAAACUCAGGGCUCAACCCUGAGCCUGCAUUUGCAACUGUGUUUCUUGAGUGCUGGGGAGGCAAGCGGAAUUCGGGGGGUAGCGGUGAAAUGCGGAGAUAUACAGAGGAACACCAGUGGCGAAGGCGGAUUGCUGGACAGUAACUGACGCUGAGGCGCGAAAGCGUGGGGAGCAAACAGGAUUAGAUACCCCGGUAGUC
rnacentral:rRNA from 1 species